rnacentral:snRNA from 1 species
AGAAGAAUGGCAUGAACCCGGGAGGUGGAGCUUGGCAGUGAGCUGAGAUCACGCCACUGGACGCCAGCCUGGGCGACAGCG